UACGGGGGGGGCAAGCGUUGUUCGGAAUUACUGGGCGUAAAGGGCUCGUAGGCGGCCAACUAAGUCAGACGUGAAAUCCCCAGGCUCAACCUGGGAACUGCGUCUGAUACUGAUUGGCUUGAAUCCGGGAGAGGGAUGCAGAAUUCCAGGUGUAGCGGUGAAAUGCGUAGAUAUCUGGAGGAAUACCGGUGGCGAAGGCGGCAUCCUGGACCGGCAUUGACGCUGAGGAGCGAAAGCUAGGGGAGCAAACGGG
rnacentral:rRNA from 1 species